rnacentral:lncRNA from 10 species
CUCUGUAAACUUCAGCAUUGAUGAUGAACAUUAUUUCAAGGAAAUAUCCCACUACUUUAUCUCUGUAAAGACAUCCAUAGAGAAUGGGCCUUUUAGAAAAUCUCACACCACUUCCUAGUUGGAGCAAUUAAACAAUAGAGAAGAUGGGUAUUCUGGAGCAGAAUUUAAUGAAACAGAACUCCACCAUCUAUGGCAAGUUUGACUGCUUGAGUCUCCAGAGGAUAAUAGUUGGAGGCCACUGAGGCCCAAAUUCAUCAGUCCGGCCAUUGAAGGACACAAGUGAACAAAGGAGGACGGCAAAGACAGAACUGUGAUAUUCAAACACUCAAUAGCUCACAGUGUCGGGGUUCAUUAUGACACUUACUAAGCACAUGCCAUAUUUCUGACACUGUGCUAAGAGUUUCAUGAACAUUAACUAAAUUAACCCCAUAAAAACGCCAUUAGAAAGAUGCAGUUUUGUACCCCCUUACACAGAUGAAGAAAAUAAAGUAUAGAGACUUUAAGAAAUUUGCCAGAAGUCUUAUAACUGAUUGGUUUGCCAUGGCUCUUUGAAACAGUUACUCUUGUCCUCAUUGUAGAGAUGGCGAUACUAAGGCAGAAUAUGGCUAGCCUGGACUUCUUUUUGUGGAGACUGGAUUCCAAGAUUGAAAGUAGAAGCUACAUGUUUUCUCCAAGCAGGGCUUUCAGACUUCACUUCUGCAACAUUUUAUUGAUGAAAGCAAGUCACAAGACCAGACUGAUUCAAGGGGUGGAGAAAUAGACCCUACUUCUUGAUGGAGGGAGGAGUAGAGUUACAUUGCAAAGGGAUCUGGACAAAAAAAGGAGUGAUUUAUUAGGAAUCAUGUUUAACAAUUUACCACAAUCCCCAGCGCAACUGCCUGUUAGCUGGAUCCAGAAAUGUCUACGACUACUGCAAUGCCACUUGGCCUUAGGGGUGAUGUGACCCAGUGUAAAGAGAUGGUGGUCUUAACCAAUCACAGUUAAGAUAGUUUAGUUUUGGAAGGUAUAAAAAAUAUGUAACAACAUGAAUGCACUUUUAGGGUCAGACAAGAGACUUGGAAAGAGCCUGCAAAAUGGAGGAGCCCUGAGGCCUAAGUCUCAUGAGUGUCAAUGCUUACCUGUAUCUAGACACUGGCAUCCCCCUUUUGAUAAGGCCAAGAUUGAUUGUUUUCCUUUUCUACCUACCCUAUAUCUAAUCCAUGUACAAACACUGUUGACACACAAAAGAACCCUAAAUUCAACAAUCUGUGAAGAAUUUUUGCACUAACAUGUUAGUUCAAAAACUCAACAUUGCUUGCUAAGACUAUUGCAAUAAACUCCUCUAUGAUCCCCUAAUUUGAUUCUUGCUCCUCUUAUUUUUUACACAGUCAUCAGAGUAAAUCUUUUCAAAGGUAAAUUGGAUUUUAUGACUUUUCUGCUUCUAAUUAGUUUCAUCUAUACAUUAAAAUAUAUUUCCAAACUAUUCUACACUGGUCUGUC